rnacentral:rRNA from 1 species
AUUGAACGCUGGCGGCAUGCUUUACACAUGCAAGUCGAACGGUAACAGGCCGCAAGGUGCUGACGAGUGGCGAACGGGUGAGUAAUGCAUCGGAACGUGCCCAGUCGUGGGGGAUAACGCAGCGAAAGCUGCGCUAAUACCGCAUACGAUCUAUGGAUGAAAGCGGGGGACCGUAAGGCCUCGCGCGAUUGGAGCGGCCGAUGUCAGAUUAGGUAGUUGGUGGGGUAAAGGCUCACCAAGCCAACGAUCUGUAGCUGGUCUGAGAGGACGACCAGCCAAACCGGGACUGAGACACGGCCCAGACGCCUACGGGAGGAAGCAGUGGGGAAUUUGGGACAAUGGGCGCAAGCCUGAUCCAGCAAUGCCGCGUGCAGGAAGAAGGCCUUCGGGUUGUAAAGCUCUUUUGUCAGGGAAGAAACGGUUGUGGCUAAUAUCCAUGGCUAAUGACGGUACCUGAAGAAUAAGCACCGGCUAACUACGUGCCAGCCGCCGCAGUAACAC